rnacentral:lncRNA from 1 species
GCAGGGGCGACACCGGAGUAAUGGGAGUUUGCUUCUUGCAAGACAUUCGCCGUGAAAACAAUUUGAUAUGAAGACAAGCCUUUGUUUCAACUUUGUUUUAAAAUUUCCAACAUAAGGCUGUUACGGCCCAGGUCAAUGUUCUUAAGCAUCACAUAUUUUUCUUUCAUUUUAUUGUUAGCUUUCUUAAAUAAAUAUUCACAUAUUAUAGACUAUAUUUUUUAUAAUUUCUUUUUUGUUCAAUUUCAGUUAAACACUAUUUCUGAUUUCUUUUUUAUAAAUUUUAAAUGUCUUUUUCUUUUUCUUCAUCUUUUUGAAACCCUGGUUUUGUAUUACCACUGACCAGUUCAGUAAAGAAACAGCUGCUUCAUGUUUGCAUAAAUGUGUUUGUAACCAAUCUAUAGCUAACAUGCUAUUAUUUCCAUAUUUUUUUAUUCCGUGUCUAUAUAUAGUCUCGAUCCGGGAGACAAGAUUUAUUUUGUCUGUUGGUUGCUUGGCUAGCGUAAACUAAUCGAUUUACCUCAUACUUUGAAGUUAGAUGGGGAUUGUUUUUAAAUAAAUGCUUUAAUUUUAGUAAUCUCUGAUGUAUUUAUGAUGGCUUGGUUUGAAGCGAGAAACGACGAAAUAUGCGGACUAGUCCUUAAAUUAAAGGAUGCGAAAAGAUAUAUUAAUGUAACUUUUUCAAAGUUCAAGUUGAUCAAUUAUUGAUUUAAGUGAAUAAAUCAAAUUUAUUUUCUCGAGGAAUAAAUCAAAUCAGGAACAUAUAUAUUGUUAGGUAUACUGUUCCCAAAUUGAAUAGUAUACAAAUCCUAGUUCUUAUAUUAUAGUAAUAAUUAUUCAUCGGCGAAAAGGAUAGUAUCUUUAUUGUGUUGGAAGAAUCGUAAAAGUGUUUUAUUUUCUAAAUUCUAUUUAUUUACUCGGACAUCGUAGAGUUUAAAAUUCUUCUUUUUUGCGUAAACCCCUGAGGGUUUACGCAGUAUAUAUUGGACGAGUGAUGUAGUCUUUCGGAACACCGGAUGUUAGUCGGAACACUUCUGGUCUUUCUAUGACCACCUUUCAAAUACAUGCGCAAUAGCUAUGACCACCUUUCAAAUGCAUGCGCAAUAGCUUACAAAUCUGUUGAAUAUGCAUUAGCAUCUUAAGUUGC